ACGGAAGGCAGUAGUGGGGAAUAUUGCGCAAUGGGGGAAACCCUGACGCAGCAACGCCGCGUGAAGGAAGAGGGUUUUCGGAUUGUAAACUUCUGUCGCAAGGGAAGAAUAAAGUGACGGUACCUUGUGAGAAAGUCACGGCUAACUACGUGCCAGCAGCCGCGGUAAUACGUAGGUGACGAGCGUUGACCGGAUUUACUGGGUGUAAAGGGCGCGUAGGCGGGAUAGCAAGUCAGAUGUGAAAUACCGAGGCUCAACCUCGGGGCUGCAUUUGAAACUGUUAUUCUUGAGUGUCGGAGAGGAAAGCGGAAUUCCUAGUGUAGCGGUGAAAUGCGUAGAUAUUAGGAGGAACACCGGUGGCGAAGGCGGCUUUCUGGACGAUAACUGACGCUGAGGCGCGAAAGUGUGGGGAGCAAACAGGAUUAGAUACCCUGGUA
rnacentral:rRNA from 1 species